GAUUCAAGAUCUACGAAUUGAAAGACCUCGGUCCAGGCCUAAUCUAGUUGGGUACCAGAUCUUGGAUUUUUUAGAGGUGAUCUUAGAGGCAUUCUUCAUCUGGAACGGAAGGCUAACGAAGAAGACAACAACCGGCUGAUUUCGUCAAGGGCCUUCGAUCGAGUCCAGAAGUCUUCAGAUUUGUUCGUUGCUGGUUCCGCUGCACCCAAGGUCCGUGGAAAGAGCCGGGAUCAUGCUCCAACACAUUGGAUUAUUGAAGUAAUUCACAUAGGAGCUUAUCAGAUUAAAAAUUUGGAUGGUA
rnacentral:lncRNA from 1 species